GACGAACGCUGGCGGCGUGCCUAACACAUGCAAGUCGAGCGGAGAUUUCUUUGGCACUGAGUACUCUAGUAAAGACGCAAAGGAAGCGUCAUGAAGAAACAACAUAGAUGUUAAAAACACUGAUAAAAGUUUCUUCAUCACGCGUUUUUAAAGUGCCAACACAAAGAGGGAAGGAUAAGUAGAGUAUUGAGUGCCAAAGAAAUCUUAGCGGCGGACGGGUGAGUAACACGUGGGCAACCUGCCUUGAAGUGGGGGAUAACACCGGGAAAUCGGUGCUAAUACCGCAUAACAUACACAAACUGCAUGGUGAGUGUAUCAAAGGAGCAAUCCGCUUUAAGAUGGGCCCGCGGCUGAUUAGCUAGUUGGUAAGGUAACGGCUUACCAAGGCGACGAUCAGUAGCCGACCUGAGAGGGUGACCGGCCACACUGGAACUGAGACACGGUCCAGACUCCUACGGGAGGCAGCAGUGGGGAAUAUUGCGCAAUGGGGGGAA
rnacentral:rRNA from 1 species